UGGUGGCGAGUGGCGAACGGGUGAGUAAUAUAUCGGAACGUGCCCAGUCGUGGGGGAUAACGCAGCGAAAGCUGUGCUAAUACCGCAUACGAUCUCUGGAUGAAAGUGGGGGACCUGCAAGGGCCUCGCGCGAUUGGAGCGGCCGAUAUCAGAUUAGCUAGUUGGUGGGGUAAAGGCUCACCAAGGCGACGAUCUGUAGCUGGUCUGAGAGGACGACCAGCCACACUGGAACUGAGACACGGUCCAGACUCCUACGGGAGGCAGCAGUGGGGAAUUUUGGACAAUGGGCGCAAGCCUGAUCCAGCAAUGCCGCGUGCGGGAUGAAGGCCUUCGGGUUGUAAACUGCUUUUGUACGGAACGAAACGGCUCUUUUUAAUAAAGAGGGCUAAUGACGGUACCGUAAGAAUAAGCACCGGCUAACUACGUGCCAGCAGCCGCGGUAAUACGUAGGGUGCGAGCGUUAAUCGGAAUUACUGGGCGUAAAGCGUGCGCAGGCGGUUUUGUAAGACAGAUGUGAAAUCCCCGGGCUCAACCUGGGACCUGCAUUUGUGACUGCAAGGCUAGAGUACGGUAGAGGGGGAUGGAAUUCCGCGUGUAGCAGUGAAAUGCGUAGAUAUGCGGAGGAACACCGAUGGCGAAGGCAAUCCCCUGGACCUGUACUGACGCUCAUGCACGAAAGCGUGGGGAGCAAACAGGAUUAGAUACCCUGGUAGUCCACGCCCUAAACGAUGUCAACUGGUUGUUGGGUCUUUACUGACUCAGUAACGAAGCUAACGCG
rnacentral:rRNA from 1 species